AGGUUAGCUAGCUCAUCCUAGCCCUGUUAUAUGGCGUUUUGGGCUAGUGAAGUUCAAGUAAUAUAACUAUGAUCGUAGAGGUCAGUGACGGAAUGCGUUUGGACAGGGGUUCAAUUCCCCUCAUCUCCAUAU
rnacentral:tmRNA from 1 species